AUUGAACGCUGGCGGCAGGCUUAACACAUGCAAGUCGAACGAGUGGCGGACGGGUGAGUAAUGCUUGGGAAUCUAGCUUAUGGAGGGGGAUAACUACGGGAAACUGUAGCUAAUACCGCGUACCAUAGGAUGAGCCCAAGUGGGAUUAGGUAGUUGGUGAGGUAAAGGCUCACCAAGCCGACGAUCUCUAGCUGGUCUGAGAGGAUGACCAGCCAAACGGGGACUGAGACACGGCCCAGACGCCAACGGGAGGCAGCAGUGGGGAAUAUUGCGCAAUGGGGGCAACCCUGACGCAGCCAUGCCGCGGGAAUGAAGAAGGCCUUCGGGUUGUAAAGUUCUUUCAGCGGGGAGGCGUUACCCGCAGAAGAAGCACCGGCUAACUCCGUGCCAGCAGCCGCGUUAAUAC
rnacentral:rRNA from 1 species